rnacentral:rRNA from 1 species
UUUUAUAUGAGAGUUUGAUCCUGGCUCAGGAUGAACGCCGGCGGUGUGCCUAAUACAUGCAAGUCGAACGCGUUGGCCCAACUGAUUGAACGUGCUUGCACGGACUUGACGUUGGUUUACCAGCGAGUGGCGGACGGGUGAGUAACACGUAGGUAACCUGCCCCAAAGCGGGGGAUAACAUUUGGAAACAGAUGCUAAUACCGCAUAACAAUUUGA